rnacentral:rRNA from 1 species
UACACUCCUGCGGGAGGCAGCAGUAGGGAAUCUUCCACAAUGGGUGCAAACCUGAUGGAGCAAUGCCGCGUGAGUGAAGAAGGUCUUCGGAUCGUAAAGCUCUGUUGUUAGAGAAGAACACGUGCUAGGUAACUACUAGCGCCUUGACGGUAUCUAACCAGAAAGUCACGGCUAACUACGUGCCAGCAGCCGCGGUAAUACGUAGGUGACAAGCGUUGUCCGGAUUUAUUGGGCGUAAAGGGAGCGCAGGCGGUCUGUUUAGUCUAAUGUGAAAGCCCACGGCUUAACCGUGGAACGGCAUUGGAAACUGACAGACUUGAAUGUAGAAGAGGAAAAUGGAAUUCCAAGUGUAGCGGUGGAAUGCGUAGAUAUUUGGAGGAACACCAGUGGCGAAGGCGAUUUUCUGGUCUAACAUUGACGCUGAGGCUCGAAAGCGUGGGGAGCGAACAGGAUUAGAAACCCCAGUAGUCCCAUGAU